CGUGUAGGCGGUUGGUUAAGUCGGAUGUGAAAGCCUGGGGCUCAGCCCCAGAAGUGCAUCCGAAACUAUCCAGCUAGAGCGCGAUAGAGGAGGGUGGAAUUCCUGGUGUAGCGGUGAAAUGCGUAGAUAUCAGGAGGAACACCGGCGGCGAAGGCGGCCCUCUGGAUCGUUGCUGACGCUGAGACGCGAAAGCGUGGGGAGCAAACAGGAUUAGAUACCCUGGUAGUCCACGCCCUAAACGGUGGGCACUAGGUGUAGGGCUCGUAAGGGUUCUGUGCCGCAGGGAAACCAUUAAGUGCCCCGCCUGGGGAGUACGGCCGCAAGGUUGAA
rnacentral:rRNA from 1 species